rnacentral:rRNA from 1 species
UACGUAGGGGGCAAGCGUUGUCCGGAUUUAUUGGGCGUAAAGAGCGUGUAGGCGGCUAGAUAGGUCCGUUGUGAAAACUCGAGGCUCAACCUCGAGACGUCGAUGGAAACCAUCUGGCUAGAGUCCGGAAGGAGGAGAGUGGAAUUCCGUGGUGUAGCGGGUGAAAAUGGCGCAGAUAUCAGGAAGAACACCCGUGGCGAAGGCGGCUCUCUGGUACGUGACUGACGCUGAGACGCGAAAGCGUGGGGAGCAAACAGG